rnacentral:lncRNA from 1 species
AAACAAACUGUGCUUUCUCAUACAAGCUCCAAAUCAAAAGGCUGUGUGCCUUGACUUACAAUCAAAGAUUCUCACCAUGGCAAUUCUAUAAAGCACGUUUAGUGCUAAGUAGAAAGUCCCGUGUAUUAUUAAUGAUAGUUAGUAGAAUGAACAUCUGCAGAUGAUGAAAUGAGCAUAUGAUCAAAUAAAGGGGUGAAGAGAAUGAAGUCAGGUUUCUCUGAAGCUGAGUAAAAAGAAUGGAACCAAGGCUUUUUAUAUAUGGUGUCAUGUGAUGCUGAUGUCGCUAUUUCUGUGAUCACUUUGUGUAUUCGUAGGCAGCUUGCUCAGGGCAACCCAGUGUCUUAAGGAAGGCUAGCACCAUGGUCUUCACUUUACAAAAUGAAAGGGAAGUGCAAAGAGGUAAAGAAAGUUUUAAACUAAUGAACUGUUAUUUUGCAGUUUUUGUGUUUCAUCCUACAUAUCGUAUGAGCACCUCUGGGUUAGGCCCUAGAAGGUCAAAGGAAGGAUCUGGUGUGGAAAGGACUGAACAGCCUACUAAAGGGGUCCAGAAACCUGAGCUAGCUGAAGAGCAGAAGCUGAACCAAGGGAACACACAGGCAGCUGAGUUACUAAGCCAAGAUUCCCAGCACUUAGAACAACACUCUCCAGAAUGUUCUCAGAUCUUCAGUGCUGACCCAGUUUCUGUUGCUGGAACUUUCCGUGGCAGAAAUCAGUACACAAGACUUAAAAGCUUGACCUCACCACCAAGAAGAAAGACAUCAAAGAAUUAAGCCAGGAGUCAAUUCACUGCAAUGGCAAGGAGUACUUUAAAGCAGAAACCCAGCUUGAAGGGAGACCAUGUCCUUAGAAGGUAUCUGAAGACUUCUUUGUACUGAGCAUGAGCAGAGGUCCACUUCUGGUCAACACUUUGAGUCCACUUCUCAUGGGGUUUCACUGGCUCAUUUGAGUGGAAGCCUGCAAGCCAAACUUUACAGUAGCAACAGUGUAAUUACAUGAUUCUGGACUUGGGGGUGGGGGGGGGUGCCCAAUGUGCCUACCAAUACUCAUACAUCAAAUCUUUGCUCAUGCCUUUCAACUCUCUUUGUGUUAUAAAUGAUUUUUAUGACACAUCUAGUGGGGUUCCUGUUUGAAUAUGAAAUGUCUCCUACAGACUUAUGCUCUAAAACUUAUGGCGGUUGGUCUGGUACUGCUAUGUAUUCAAAUGCUUACUACUGGUC